rnacentral:rRNA from 1 species
AAUAGAUACCCGGGUAGUCCAUGCCGUAAACGUUGGGCACUAGGUGUGGGGCUCAUUCCACGAGUUCCGUGCCGCAGCAAACGCAUUAAGUGCCCCGCCUGGGGAGUACGGCCGCAAGGCUAAAACUCAAAGGAAUUAACGGGGGCCCGCACAAGCGGCGGAGCAUGCGGAUUAAUUCGAUGCAACGCGAAGAACCUUACCAAGGCUUGACAUGCACGGGAAGCCACCAGAGAUGGUGGUCUCUUUGGACACUCGUGCACAGGUGGUGCAUGGUUGUCGUCAGCUCGUGUCGUGAGAUGUUGGGUUAAGUCCCGCAACGAGCGCAACCCUCGUCCCAUGUUGCCAGCGGGUUAUGCCGGGGACUCAUGGGAGACUGCCGGGGUCAACUCGGAGAAGGUGGGGAUGACGUCAAAUCAUCAUGCCCCUUAUGUCUUGGGCUUCACGCAUGCUACAAUGGCCGGUACAAAGGGCUGCGAUACCGUAAGGUGGAGCGAAUCCCGAAAAAGCCGGUCUCAGUUCGGAUUGGGGUCUG